rnacentral:rRNA from 1 species
CANGUCNAGCGGAACGAGUUCNCUGAACCUUCGGGGAACGUGAACGGCGUNNNGNGNCGGACGGGUGAGUAAUGCCUGGGAAAUUGCCCUGAUGUGGGGGAUAACCAUUGGAAACGAUGGCUAAUACCGCAUAAUAGCUUCGGCUCAAAGAGGGGGACCUUCGGGCCUCUCGCGUCAGGAUAUGCCCAGGUGGGAUUAGCUAGUUGGUGAGGUAAAGGCUCACCAAGGCGACGAUCCCUAGCUGGUCUGAGAGGAUGAUCAGCCACACUGGAACUGAGACACGGCCCACACUCCUACGGGAGGCAGCAGUGGGGAAUAUUGCACAAUGGGCGCAAGCCUGAUGCAGCCAUGCCGCGUGUGUGAAGAAGGCCUUCGGGUUGUAAAGUACUUUCAGCCGUGAGGAAGGUUGUGGAGUUAAUAGCUGCUUGAUUUGACGUUAGCNACAGAAGAAGCACCGGCUAACUCCGUGCCAGCAGCCGCGGANAUA